UCCCUCCCGGUAUUAUAGUCUCUUGAUCGUCGUAACAAAAUAGUACUGUUGUUAACCUAAAGCCACAUAGCUCCGGCUCGGGUAAGCAUGGGCCUUAAGUUUCGUUGGAGGUGAAGGCUCAUCACUUCAUUGGCUCCUCCCACAAGUUCACCACCAAUAAACACGGCUGGCACCACCGGAUUGCGGCCUAGCAUUGCCAGAGCUGUCUCGAUUUCACGGCCCCUAGAGAUUUCAUCAAGCUCANUCGUUGGAGGUGAAGGCUCAUCACUUCAUUGGCUCCUCCCACAAGUUCACCACCAAUAAACACGGCUGGCACCACCGGAUUGCGGCCUAGCAUUGCCAGAGCUGUCUCGAUUUCACGGCCCCUAG
rnacentral:lncRNA from 1 species